ACGGGAGGCAGCAGUGGGGAAUAUUGCACAAUGGGCGCAAGCCUGAUGCAGCGAUGCCGCGUGAGGGAAGAAGGUUUUCGGAUUGUAAACCUCUGUCAACAGGGACGAAAAUGACGGUACCUGUGAAGGAAGCUCCGGCUAACUACGUGCCAGCAGCCGCGGUAAUACGUAGGGGGCAAGCGUUAUCCGGAUUUACUGGGUGUAAAGGGAGCGUAGACGGAAUUGCAAGUCCGAUGUGAAAGGCAUGGGCUCAACCCGUGGACUGCAUUGGAAACUGUGGUUCUUGAGUGCCGGAGGGGUAAGCGGAAUUCCUGGUGUAGCGGUGAAAUGCGUAGAUAUCAGGAGGAACACCGGUGGCGAAGGCGGCUUACUGGACGGCAACUGACGUUGAGGCUCGAAAGCGUGGGGAGCAAACAGGAUUAGAUACCCUGGUA
rnacentral:rRNA from 1 species